AACCAUAGAAACCUGCGGAGUACCUGCGGAAGGAUCAUUACAAGUGACCCCGGUCUAACCACCGGGAUGUUCAUAACCCUUUGUUGUCCGACUCUGUUGCCUCCGGGGCGACCCUGCCUUCGGGCGGGGGCUCCGGGUGGACACUUCAAACUCUUGCGUAACUUUGCAGUCUGAGUAAACUUAAUUAAUAAAUUAAAACUUUUAACAACGGAUCU
rnacentral:misc_RNA from 1 species